UGAAGUGACUUUCCCAAGGUCACCCAGCAGACAAGCAGUGGAGCUGGAAUUAGAAUCCAGGUCCUUGCCCUCAUCCUUUAUGCUGUUCUCGUGCUUUAUGGUUUCCUCAGUCUUUAUGUCUCAGUUGCCCACCCCUCCUGUUAUUCAGGUAGAUCUUGAGUCCUCUGGGGGCCAAGGACCAUAUCUAAUUGUCCUCCGGGUCUUUUCUUCCCAGCACCCGGUAGAGUGGUUUGCACACAGUAGGCCCUAAAUGUCCACCAUUGCUCCUGCUCAUCUACUGCAGCCCCGGGUGCAAACAAUUCCAAGCUAAGGCUGAGAAUUUCAGCCAGGAGAACAAAGGAAGCUCUGAGUGUUCCAGAUCCCAGAAGCUCCCUCAGAGAGCAAUGGGUAGCAGAGAAGACUCCAUUUCAAAUCUGGUUCCCAACGGCAUCUCCUGUGUCCCUCCAUAGACAGGCCGCCCCUUUUGAGAUGGGGUCGUGCAGAGCUAAAUUCCUGGCAUGAGAUGGCAGAAACAGCAAGGAAGCAGGAUGAAGCAUACAGUCACCCGGAGCCACAUAGGCCUCUGGGAGAAUCCUGGGUCCUACAGUAACCAGAAUGAGUUCUCAUUAGCAAGUGUGACUAACCCCUGAGUCACUCCACUGGCCUGGAACUGAGCUGAGUUAUUUCUAGCAGAUAAUUUGGAACUUUGGAGGCCCUAAAUGCAGUCUGACCCAACAAGGUAACACUGUGACUCAAGAAAUAAAGACUUGUAAG